CCUAUGAGACGGGCAGAAUGGUCAACUCUUUGGACACUCGUAAACAGGUGGUGCAUGGUUGUCGUCAGCUCGUGUCGUGAGAUGUUGGGUUAAGUCCCGCAACGAGCGCAACCCUCGUUCUAUGUUGCCAGCACGUAAUGGUGGGAACUCAUGGGAUACUGCCGGGGUCAACUCGGAGGAAGGUGGGGACGACGUCAAAUCAUCAUGCCCCUUAUGUCUUGGGCUUCACGCAUGCUACAAUGGCCAGUACAAAGGGCUGCAAUACCGUAAGGUGGAGCGAAUCCCAAAAAGCUGGUCCCAGUUCGGAUUGAGGUCUGCAACUCGACCUCAUGAAGUCGGAGUCGCUAGUAAUCGCAGAUCAGCAACGCUGCGGUGAAUACGUUCCCGGGCCUUGUACACACCGAAACC
rnacentral:rRNA from 1 species